CGGUAUAUGCGUGGAAAAAUCUAAAUAAUCCGCGCUACGUAUGAACAAAGCAAGCGGUCGCGAACAAGAAGAGCAACAUCGGCAAAUACGCGACAAAUACAACCAAAAUAGCAGCAAAAUACUUCGUAGAAUAUAUAUAA
rnacentral:lncRNA from 1 species